GGCAAUUGGUUGGAGGUGAAGAAUCACGCGGAACAUGAAACUGGACAUAGAUAUACCUUUGGAAGAUUUAGACUGAAAGUGUUCAAAAGUUCUAGCUUUGCUUCUACAAUGCAGCUGAUAGUCUGCAUUUUGAGUUUUAUCGAUGAGAUUGUCCAGGUGGCAGUGAUCUGUAAUUUUUUCAGCCCGGACAAUUUAUUAACUAUGAAGUGGNUAAGUGGACUUUCUUGAUAUUGACUACGUUCCAACACAGUUUCAGUUCUGUACAAUGGGCAAUAGGACG
rnacentral:misc_RNA from 1 species